rnacentral:rRNA from 1 species
GACGAACGCUGGCGGCGUGCUUAACACAUGCAAGUCGAACGGAAAGGCCUGCUUUCCCUUGUGGAUUGCGGGUACUCGAGUGGCGAACGGGUGAGUAACACGUGAGUGAUCUGCCCCCAACUUGGGUAUAAGCCUGGGAAACUGGGUCUAAUUCCCGAUAGGACUGCAGGGUGGUGCCUGUGGUGGAAAACGAUUUUCUAGUGGUUGGGGAUGAGCUCGCGGCCUAUCAGCUUGUUGGUGUGGUAAUUGCCUACCAAGGCGGGGACGGGUAGCCGGCCGGGGAGGGUGGACGGCCGCAUUGGGACUGGGAUACGGCCCAGACGCCUACGGGAGGCAGCAGUGGGGAAGAUUGCACAAUGGGCGGAAGCCUGAUGCAGCGACGCCGCGUGGGGGAUGACGGCCUUCGGGUUGUAAACUCCUUGCGACCGCGAGGAAGCCACCUGGUUGGAAGGGUGGUGACGGUAGUGGUAGAAGAAGCACCGGCUAACUACGUG